CCUACGGGUGGCAGCAGUGAGGAAUAUUGGUCAAUGGACGAGAGUCUGAACCAGCCAAGUAGCGUGAAGGAUUACUGCCCUAUGGGUUGUAAACUUCUUUUAUCAAGGAAUAAAACGAGGCACGUGUGCCUUGUUGCAUGUACUUUAUGAAUAAGGAUCGGCUAACGCCGUGCCCGCAGCCGCGGUAAUACGGUGUCUCCGAGCGUUAUCCGUAUUUAUUGGGUUUAAAGGGAGCGUAGAUGGGUUGUUACGUCAGUUGUGAAAGUUUGCGGCUCAACCGUAAACUUGCCAUUGAUACGGGCAGUCUUGAGUCCACUUGAGGUCGGCGGAAUUCGUG
rnacentral:rRNA from 1 species